rnacentral:rRNA from 1 species
AGGAUGAACGCUGGCGGCGUGCCUAACACAUGCAAGUCGAACGUCCUGUCUCGCAAGAGGCAGGGAGUGGCGGACGGGUGAGUACCACGUGGGUCAUCUACCGUGAGGUGAGGAAUACCGGCGAGAAAUCGCCGACAAGACCGCAUAGCCUCGGUGCAAGUCGAGGAAAGCUCUCUCGAGAGAGGGAGCGCCACACGAGGAGCCUGCGCCCGAUUAGCUAGCUGGUGGAGUAAUGGUUCACCAGGGCGACGAUGGGUAGCUGGUCUGAGAGGACGACCAGCCACACUGGGACUGAGACACGGCCCCAGACUCCUACGGGAGGCAGCAGUGAGGAAUUUUCCGCAAUGGGCGAAAGCCUGACGGAGCGACGCCGCGUGCACGAGGAAGGCCUUCGGGUCGUAAAGUGCUGUCGAGGGGACGAGUUAUGACGGUACCCCUGGACGGAAGCCCCGGCUAACGUACGUGCCAGCAGCCGC